rnacentral:rRNA from 1 species
GACGAACGCUGGCGGCGUGCUUAACACAUGCAAGUCGAACGGAAAGGCCCUGCUUUUGUGGGGUGCUCGAGUGGCGAACGGGUGAGUAACACGUGAGUAACCUGCCCUUGACUUUGGGAUAACUUCAGGAAACUGGGGCUAAUACCGGAUAGGAGCUCCUGCUGCAUGGUGGGGGUUGGAAAGUUUCGGCGGUAGGGGAUGGUCUCGCGGCUUAUCAGCUUGUUGGUGGGGUUGUGGCUUACCAAGGCUUUGACGGGUAGGCGGCCUGGGAGGGUGGCCGGCCACAUUGGGACUGAGAUACGGCCCAGAAUCCUACGGGCGGCAGCAGUGGAGAAUAUUGCACAAUGGGCGGAAGCCUGAUGCAGCAACGCCGCGUGCGGGAUGACGGCCUUCGGGUUGUAAACCGCUUUCGCCUGUGACGAAGCGUGAGUGACGGUAAUGGGUAAAGAAGCACCGGCUAACUACGUG